UACGUAGGUGGCAAGCGUUGUCCGGAUUUACUGGGCGUAAAGGGAGCGUAGGCGGAUACUUAAGUGGGAUGUGAAAUACCUGGGCUUAACUUGGGUGCUGCAUUCCAAACUGGGUGUCUAGAGUGUUGGAGAGGAAAGUGGAAUUCCUAGUGUAGCGGUGAAAUGCGUAGAGAUUAGGAAGAACACCAGUGGCGAAGGCGACUUUCUGGACAAUAACUGACGCUGAGGCUCGAAAGCGUGGGGAGCAAAC
rnacentral:rRNA from 2 species